ACACCUCUGCAGAUGUUGCACUGAAAUGAAAAGCUUCUCUCCAUACUCAGUGGAGAAAGAACUUUAUUGAACAGUGGAAUGAGACACUGAGUGUUAGGUAACAUUGUACAACAUGAUAGAUAUAUCUUACAUUUGUUCUUCUGGUCUGUGGUGCUCCCUAAAAACCUUUGCAUUUCAUGAGGCCCGAUGCAAUUUUUUUGUGUUACAGAACAACCCUGGUGAAAUCAUGCUUUUGCCAUGAGAUCUGAGCUGUUCUGAGGAAUGGGAAAGAAGAGACAGAGGAGGAGAGGAAUCACUGAGCUCUACUUUCCACAGAAUAAGGCCUCUGGAAAUAAGAUGGUGUCAAAAUCUCUGCAUUUAUCGUUAACUGCUUAAAAGGUCCUUUACAGUUCAGGCAAGAAUGAUGCUUGCCCUGGCAAGUUUAUGUACUAAUUGAAACCUCUGCGUUUGUGUGUCAGCACAACACAGCAAAAUGGAGAGCUGCAGUGGCAAUGGAAAUACUCUAAUGUUGCUCAAGUCAAAAUAAAAACUUCAUCUUGUUUGGCAUCAGCCAUGAGAAAAGGUGGAUAUUGCUGCAGGACAGGGAGACAUUGGAAAAGAGAGGCUGGCACAGCUAAGGGGGAGCGGCCCAGUGGGAGAAGCCUAGAUAAUUAGAGAGGAGAGAAACUAUGCAGGAAGCUUAGAAAGCCACGAGCUAUGGGGUAAAUUAAAGGAGACAGAGCAGACUGAGUAGAUUUGAUUGUCUGAAUUACAUGUGUGCAUCUGAGUAGCAGGUGAAAGGAAUGAAGAUGAGGUAGCAGUCUGAAAGCCUUUAAAGGGAUCACCUGGAGGCUAAGGAGCAGGUGGAGGGUUGAGCUGUGGAGGAGAGGAAGCAAAAUAAAUCUUGGGAAAGUGGGGGAGGGGGGUGUACAUUAUCUGGAGAGUAAAUCAGUGCCCAACAAUACUCAGGAAAACAUUUGGAGAAGAUCGAACAGUGAUGGUACAGAUUCAGAGUCCAAACGGUGGGUGUGAGCACAGUGAGGUGUUUCAGCCCCAAGAGAUGUUGUUUCAGCAGUGUCAAUAGCGAUGUGAGAGACAAGUCACAUUCUGGACAGCCAUGCAGAUUUUUGGAAGUGUGGCUUGAAAAUCCCCAGUGAAUGGUUCAGACUACUUUGAAAAUUAGCAUUUUGAAGAGGAGAGCAAAAUACUUCAUGUUUCAGAAGAACCUAGACAGAUUUCUCCAAAUGCAUCUCUACUUGUUUGUCAUUCACACUGACACGAGAACCUCCUCUUCUUGGUAAAGUAACAGACCUCCUGAGAGCCCUAUUGCUGGAGCAACAUAGAGAACGCAUUAACAUAACAUCUCAGGCAUGAGCCUGAGCGAACACUGCCACGACUGCCUUACUAAUCACCUGUUGUCAGUCUGACACAGAGCUCCACCUACUCGGAUAGGCAUCUAAUAAGGCACCGAGAUCUAUCUGUAGCCAGAGGGAUAAAACUGAGUUCACCUCUAACCUGGAAGACAGUGAGAUUCAGAUGCCUAUAAAAGAGCUCGCAGAAGCUGUUUUGGAUGUCCUCAAGAUGUAAGAAGCUCCAGACAGAGCAGGCUGAUGUGAUGCAGGAUGAAAGAAAAUUGACCUUCUGGAGAUCUGACUGGGCACCAAGCAGGACAACAUGAGUCAAGUGAAUUCUAACCUUUAUUGUGUUCAUGUUCUUCUAAUGAAAAAAUAUACUGUAACUCAGUAUUAAUAAUGAGAUACAGUAUUAGCUAAACAAGAUCAUAUGAUCUUGAUGAAGCAACGUACCUCAAAAUCAGCUCCAGUGACAGUCAAACUGGGACUUACAAUACACUAGUCUACAAUUUCCAACAGUGGUGGCACAAGCCUUGGGAUGCUUCCUGUAUCUGUGAGGAAAUCUUAAAUCCAUACAAGGUACAGUGGCACUGUUAUACUUGGCUUUCAUCCUAGUAACUUGAAGCACUUCCUUACAAAAUGUUUCACAACUUCUGAAGAGUACAAAACACUGAACUGGACUAUUGGGCAUACUGUAACUACUACUAGCUGGUAUAUUCCAGGAAAGACCUCCUAUGCUCAAUAGUGUGUAGAAGCAACAAAUGGGAGAGAGUAAACCAUCUGCACACAAAAGCCAGUUUAAACUUUCUAUAGUGGGAAGAAGAAAAAAAAAACAACACAAAAAAUAUGAGAUUGAAAACCAUUUCUGCUGUGUUUUUUUUUUCUUUUUUCUUUUUAAAAUGCAAUAGUAGCUAUGUAUAGAUAAAGCAGACUGCAAGCUUCUGGCCAUACUGUAGCACUGUAGUAUGGAAGGAUAACUGCCUUGCAUGGGAAAUCAAUGAUGCUGUAGCACUGCACUCUAUCCUUUACUUUGAAGGAAUGCUGUUGAAGCAUCUAAGAUUCAUAUUGCCUGCUCUCUUUCUUCGCUUCAGGUAUGUCUCUUAAUUUGCCACUGUUAGAUAAAGAAUAAAGGACUUGCAUAUAAUAAAGAUUUAAUAAAUAGGAAAGAUUUGGGAUAUAUGAAAGAUUGAGUGGAAAAAAAAUUCUGGAUCUGUCCAAUUAGUUUGAUUAUAUUUUAUUAGAAAGUUCAGCCAAUACAAAUGAUUCUUGUUCAUUACAGCCAGUUUAAAGUGUAGUAUAUCAUUGUAAUUCAUAUAGAUGUUUUCUGUCCAGUUAAAUAUAAGCUCCUUGGGUAAGUACUGACUGUUACUUUUUGUGUACUGAAUGUUAAGAAGCAUAAGCAACACCAGCAAUGCUUCAGUAUAAGUCAAUAUACAUACAUGUUCACAUUUCAGACAUUAAAAGGAAAAAAUAAAUUAAUGUACCGGUUGCAUUUUAAGCUCUACUUGCUUUUAGUAGUAAUUCAGAUGAAUGGUUAAUUUAAAUCUAUUUACAAAGUUAAAGCUAAAAGCAUUUCAUUUAUAUUCAACAAUAACCAACACAGUAUGGCGUUUUACCAAAACAUGGGACACCUCAAAAGCAGAAGACUUAUUCGGUUUCUUGUUGACAGAAUUGACAGCUCUUUGCUACUGUUGUUGCCAAAAUAAAUAUGCUAAUUUACUUUUUAAUUCUAUAGAAAGUGUGAAAAUACUCCACUGUGAAAAAUAAAAAUACUUUUUUAUUAUGUAUCUUAAAUGGAGAUGUAUUUGAACAUUGUAUUUUUAGUUAUACAUAGUGAAUAAAAAAAACUGCUGGUGGCACUAUUUUUAAGCAGCUGACUUCACUUAAUUAAAUGCAGAACAGUAUUCUGGGUAGGUUUAAAGUACAUAGCUAACAUAAAUUAAAAAAUAAAACUGGCAUGUAUGAAACAAAUAAUGGCUAAGACAUCUUAAUACUCUGAAUUUCUAUAUAUCUUACUAUUGUAGUCUUAACUUGAGCGUGUGUUAACUGGGCAGACAUGUUCAGCAAUGGUCUUCUCAGAGCCUCCACAGAGUUAGGCAGCACAUAAUUACCACUGCUCUCACUCGUAUAAUCCAUGGCACAGGCAGGCUACUCGUUGUUUUCAUAUACGAGUUCUCCAGAAGAGCCAAACCAGAAGCCAUUUGAAAUUCUCUCCUACUGAAACCUGCAGUUGUAUAGCUACUGUAGUACCUCUGUGACUUUACAGAUGGAAAACAGAAUACCUGCACUGUGACUAAACUUAUAGUAGUGCAGAUGGGACUGGAAACAUUAGAAGUAUGCGUGCUGUAUUUCAAGAGAUUCCUUUUCUUUUAAUGAACAAGUAAGAAUAAUGAUUACCCAAAUAGCAAAAUGCAAAAAAACAAUGGAUGUGUUUGCAAGUUAGAAGACAGAGGGAAGUUUAAGAGGUUGGAGGUAAAAAAUACUCUUUAAAUGUGUGCAAUUCAAAUAUUUUCUGUGAAAAUUGUAUUUUUCUCUGUGGCUUUUAAGUCUAAGUGCUGUUAAGAACACGAAACAAAGUAGGUAAAUUUUAUGUUCAAUACAUCUCAAUUUUGUCUUCUCUACAUAAUUGGUGGUAAUAUUUUUUCUGUGCUUUCUGAGAUUUCUUUCUUUCCCUCUUCCUGUUUUCUGCCUUUCUUAGCAACACUACACUAAAAGUAGCAUAUGAGAAACAUCAUUUUCAUCUUGCACUGAAGAGCAUGAAAUGAAGCCACUACAAACCCUAGUUCUCUAGAAGGUUCUAGUUCACUACAGAGGUUUUUCAGGAGCCUGGCAGAACUACCACCCUCUCUAGGUAGAGAUAUCUCUGCUCAGUACUAGAACUUUCAUCUUUUCUGAAGAAAAGUCCAUCAGGAUAUGAUGAUUAAGAUGUGCUUAAAACCUCUAUCUUCCCCUCUACAGCAAAUGCUCAGUGCUGAGAGUGAACACAAAUUAGGUGCAGAGAUUAUGCAAAAUGUGUUCUGAUUCAACUUACUGAGCUUAACAUCUGAAGAUUGUGCUGGGAUUUAAACCAAAGUCAGAGCAUCUUUUCAAGUGUGCUGUGUCAGGAAAACAUUCAAACUGGAAUGAAGCAUGCAGUUCCAUAGAUAGGUACACCUGGCAUAGAGAGUAGAUAGGUAAGUUUUUAGCAUAAACAUUUAAAGAACUUGAAGUGGUUCAUUGGAACAAACUCACAUACGUGCUACUACAGUUUCUGUUUGAAAAGUUAGCUGUCAGUUUGGCUUAAUGUCAAAGGAAAUAGCUUUUCAACAGUUGUCAGGCAUCACAGAAUCUGAAUAUUGUUGAUGUUCUUUGUAUUUUCAGUCUGGCUCUAGAUGUUACUCUGUUCGUAUUUUAGUCACCUUGGAGAGAUGAAUGAAUUUCAGAUGUCCAUCUGGUAGCGGCCACAUCUGCUGCAUCAUAGUUACAGCUGCUACUGCCUUGUACACCAUGAAUGAAUCAACAACAGUCCUGGAGUAGUAUUUUUCCUUGGAUGACUGUAAUGGGUAAGGAAAAAACGGCUUCCUUUCCUGAAGAAGGGUAAUAUAGCACGUUGUUACCUUCCUGUUAUAGAAAGCAUUUCAGAAAGCUGAUGACAUCCAACUGUAUAUGCCUAAGUCAACAGAGACGCUUUAACUAAAAGAAUGUUUCCCAGUAGUCAUCAACCUUCAGCACUCCUACUUCCCAAGCUGCUAUCAGAUAUGAACAUUAUAGCAGUAAUUGAAUUUGCUUUUUAUGAUCAGUGCAAGGCCUUUACUGCCCUAGACAGAGACUGCUGCUGGCAUUAUCAUAUUUUUUCUUAUUUCAAGAUUAGAUUAAUGCAAUAAAACUUCACCUUUAAAAAUAAGCUGCCAGAGAAUACUACAGUUUAUAUGACUAUAGAAAGGCUACCUAGAUAAAAUGCAGGAGUUAAAGAUAAGGACUUCUGCUCGUGUUCAGACAGAAACUAAUGAGUUACGUAGUUACCUGAAUUACCUGAAGAACCUUAACAAGCCAUAGGACCUGUUUCGUGUCCAACAAACAAACCAAAACAACAGAAAACGUGCCCGCCCCCACCAAACCACAAGCCCUGUUUACCCAGCCUUGCCCCCCUCCGUAUUUCUUCCCCUCCUGGGAAAACUCCGAAGUUCAAUCCAAAGCAGGAGUAUUUCUGAUUCCUCUGUAGAUCAGGUUGCAGGCAGGCCAGUCUUCUUGGGAGCUAUACCUUCACAUAGCUCUUGAAGCAGAACUAAUUCAACCUUUAUCUCCCAUACAUUCUUAAUCCCCCCUUUCCUGGAAGCGUAGGAAGGUGGAGGAAGAUAGAACACAAGGUAUGAAGAAAGGCUUUUAUGUAGAUUUUCUGUUUUUGCAGGAUACUUGAUGAAGAAAGAUGUCGUACUAAUUUACUUAUUUAAAACUAAUGGUGUGUUAUCUACAUUUUGUCACAGCAUUCAACUACACCAAGGGCAGUUUUUUUCCGAUGAUUUAAAUUCAGUCUUGAGGCACUCAUGACAAAAUAAAAGAUUAGAGGUUUUUCCUAAGUCAUUUAUCCUUAAUUACACAGGCAGUCUCAGCAUGUAGCACUGCCUCCAUUUUUGUACUGUUCAGAUUAGGAAAACAAUUCAGAUUAAUGCAUGGCAAAACAGAUCUUGAAUUUGCAUUGAAAUGGAUGAAUGAUUCCAGUAACUGCUGGUGUGCAACACCUUAUUCACCAGUAAAUAAAUGGAAAAUGGCUUAGUAUAAGAGGUAUUGUUCUCAGUAGGCAAGACAACAGAUAGUUAUUGCAUAUCUCAUGUUGGUAUUUCUUACCUUAUAUUGUGUGCUUGCUUCAUCUGCUCAUAUCCAAGCAGUGGAAGCACUUUACGUACAGGAAGCAAUAAUGAAGCAGCAUGGGAACAGCUGUACUGAAUCUUCUGAAAAAAAAAGUCUCCUUAUGCUAUUUUAACUGUGAGAAUUGGUAGUCCAGAAUAAUCAUUCUGACUUUAUCUAAGUUCAUCUAAUUGUAAGAUGCAGCCUGCAGUCUGACACUGAUGGCCUCGAUCACACCAGAGCACUCAGUGAGCAGUUUACCCACUGGUUGGUUAAAAGCUAGCAGAUAAAUAAACGGCUACAAAAACGCACCCACCCUUCAGGCUGAUCCAUAAUAAGCAGAAGUGGAUGACAGUUCAGUUUGGCACGUAAGGUUUGGUUUUGCUCAUCAGGCUUUUAAAACUAGAGAGGAAUGGAGCAAAUACAAUCUUGUUACUAAAUAGAAGCAGCACUGUGCCAUCAUCCAUAGCCAUGCUGUAGCGUGCUCUGGGCAUGCGACAGAGGGACCAGCAACCCGCGUUUAAAGAAAGCAAAACAAAACAGUAGUCUGCAAAGUCGCUGCUCUCUUUGAUAAUAAGGACGAUA